CAGGGUGAGCUGUGCGAAGUGAGGACCCUUGUUAACAAAGUUUUUCAAGGGAAAUUUAAACUCUGAAGUCUCUGGGAUUAACUUCAGAAAACCACCAUACUGAAGUUGGCCCUUUGUAAUCCCCACAUACAGAUGGAGAUGAUCAACCUUGAAAUGCGGAUGUGAUGCAGCAAUGCUCCAUAGCUCUGCACUGUUUUUAAUUGCAGUUGCUGGUCUCCUUGAGUAUGGGACUAUUCCUGUAAUUUCAUGAGAUGUUUCGGCAACAGUGGUAACCUGUUCUGUACUUGUCUACUGUUGGGAAAAAAUAUAUAUAAUUUGAUACA